UACAGAGGGUGCGAGCGUUAAUCGGAAUUACUGGGCGUAAAGCGUGCGUAGACGGUUGCGUAAGUCAGAUGUGAAAGCCCCGGGCUCAACCUGGGAAUUGCAUUUGAGACUGCGUAGCUAGGGUGCGGAAGAGGGAAGCGGAAUUUCCGGUGUAGCGGUGAAAUGCGUAGAUAUCGGAAGGAACACCAGUGGCGAAAGCGACUUCCUGGUCCAGCACCGACGUCAGGCACGAAAGCGUGGGGAGCAAACAGG
rnacentral:rRNA from 1 species